AUUGAACGCUGGCGGCAGGCCUAACACAUGCAAGUCGAGCGAGCGGCGGACGGGUGAGUAAUGUAUGGGAAUCUGCCCGAACGAGGGGGAUAACUACGGGCAACGGUGGCUAAUACCGCAUACUAUCGGAUGAACCCAUAUGGGAUUAGCUAGUAGGUGGGGUAAAGGCUCACUUGGGCGACGAUCUCUAGCUGGUCUGAGAGGAUGAUAAGCCACACUGGUACUGUGACACAGCCCCGACUCGUACGGGAGGCAGCAGUGGGGAAUAUUGCACAAUGGGCGCAAGCCUGAUGCAGCCAUGCCGCUUGUAUGAAGAAGGCCUUAGGGUUGUAAAGUACUUUCAGCGGGGAGUCGUUACCCGCAGAAGAAGCAACGGCUAACUCCGUGCCAGCAGCCGCGGUAAUAC
rnacentral:rRNA from 1 species